rnacentral:rRNA from 1 species
AGUCAAGCGAAUAAGAGCUUACGACGGAUACCUUGGUGUUCAGAAGCGAUGAAGGGCGUGGCUACCGACGAUAUGUUUCGGGGAACUGGAAGCAAGUUUUGAUCCGAAAAUACCCGAAUAAGGAAACUUCAAGAACUACCUCUUGAAUACAUAAAGAGGAAAGAGCAAACCUAGUGAAUUGAAACAUCUUAGUAACUAGAGGAAAAGAAAGCAAAAGCGAUUCUCUUAGUAGCGGCGAGCGAAAUGGGACUAGUCUAAACUCUAUAACAGAGGGUUGUGGGACAACGUAGAAUCAAUUGUAAAUUGUUA